AGUUCAUCACAGGUUUUGACAACAGGAGUGUAAGCAAUGACAAAAAGGCAUGGAGAUUAAAAAGAUGCCUCUGCUGCUCCACAAUAUGGAUCAGAAUCUCCUUUUUUGAAAUCGCUGUUCCAAAUCAUCCCCAAACAGGGAUAGCUUUGAAAGACAGCAAAUUGGAAAGAUUACUGAUAUGGGCAAAGUUUCAGGCAGAGUGGGAAGAGAAGUGGCCAAUGGUUAGUGUACAUACAAACUC
rnacentral:lncRNA from 10 species